UACGUAGGGGGCGAGCGUUGUCCGGAAUCAUUGGGCGUAAAGAGCGUGUAGGUGGACUGGAAGGUCUGGUGUGAAAACUCUGGGCUCAACCCAGAGAGGCCACCCGAUACUGCUGUGACUAGAGUGCGGUAGGGGAGCGGGGAAUUCCUGGUGUAGCGGUGAAAUGCGCAGAUAUCAGGAGGAACACCAGCGGCGAAGGCGCCGCUCUGGGCCGUAACUGACGCUGAGGAGCGAAAGCAUGGGUAGCAAACAGG
rnacentral:rRNA from 1 species